rnacentral:tRNA from 1 species
GCCGAAGUGGCGAAAUUGGAAAACGCAGUUGAUUCAAAAUCAACUAUCUUAAAAAGAUUUAUCGGUUCGAGUCCGAUCUUCGGCA